AGACCCGAAACCCGGUGAUCUAGCCAUGGGCAGGUUGAAGGUUGGGUAACACUAACUGGAGGACCGAACCGACUAAUGUUGAAAAAUUAGCGGAUGACCUGUGGCUGGGGGUGAAAGGCCAAUCAAACCGGGAGAUAGCUGGUUCUCCCCGAAAGCUAUUUAGGUAGCGCCUCGUGAAUUCAUCUCCGGGGGUAGAGCACUGUUUCGGCUAGGGGGCCAUCCCGGCUUACCAACCCGAUGCAAACUGCGAAUACCGGAGAAUGUUAUCACGGGAGACACACGGCGGGUGCUAACGUCCGUCGUGAAGAGGGAAACAACCCAGACCGCCAGCUAAGGUCCCAAAGUCAUGGUUAAGUGGGAAACGAUGUGGGAAGGCCCAGACAGCCAGGAUGUUGGCUUAGAAGCAGCCAUCAUUUAAAGAAAGCGUAAUAGCUCACUGGUCGAGUCGGCCUGCGCGGAAGAUGUAACGGGGCUAAACCAUGCACCGAAGCUGCGGCAGCGAACGUAUCACUUAAAGCGAUUCAGCGGGUUACGAUUGACGGAGCGAAGCGACGUCAAAGCGUAUACAAAGUCGAGUCGGUUUAAGGAUACGUUCGUUGGGUAGGGGAGCGUUCUGUAAGCCUGUGAAGGUGGCCUGUGAGGGUUGCUGGAGGUAUCAGAAGUGCGAAUGCUGACAUAAGUAACGAUAAAGCGGGUGAAAAGCCCGCUCGCCGGAAGACCAAGGGUUCCUGUCCAACGUUAAUCGGGGCAGGGUGAGUCGACCCCUAAGGCGAGGCCGAAAGGCGUAGUCGAUGGGAAACAGGUUAAUAUUCCUGUACUUGGUGUUACUGCGAAGGGG
rnacentral:rRNA from 1 species